rnacentral:rRNA from 1 species
GGAUUAGAUACCCUGGUAGUCCACGCCGUAAACGAUGAGUACUAGGUGUGGGGGGUGUUGACCCCCUCCGUGCCGCAGCUAACGCAUUAAGUACUCCGCCUGGGAAGUACGGUCGCAAGACUAAAACUCAAAGGAAUUGACGGGGACCCGCACAAGCGGUGGAGCAUGUGGUUUAAUUCGACGCAACGCGAAGAACCUUACCUGGGUUGAACUACGUAUGGACCUCCAUGGAAACAUGGUUUGCCUUUCUUUGAAAGGACCCAUGCGAUAGGUGCUGCAUGGCUGUCGUCAGCUCGUGCCG